rnacentral:rRNA from 1 species
AUUGAACGCUAACGGCGUGCUUAACACAUGCAAGUCGAGCGGCAGCAUGACUGUAGCAAUACAGUUGAUGGCGGGCGGCGGACGGGAGAGUAAUGCAUAGGAAUCUGCCUUGUAGUGGGGGAUAACGCGGGGAAACUCGGGCUAAUACCGCAUAAUCUCUCCGGCGCAAAGUGGGGGACCUCCGGGCCCUACGCUAAAAGCUGAGCCUAGGUUGGAUUAGCAAGUUGGUAGGGUCAAAGCCAACCAAUGCAACGAACCACAGCUGGCGUGAGAGGAUGAUAAGACACACUGGGACUGAGACACGGCCGAGACUCCUACGGGAGGCAGCAGUGGGGAAUAUUGGACAAUGGGCGAAAGCCUGAUCCGGCAACGCCGUGUGUGUGAAGAAGGCCUUCGGGUUGUAAAGCACUUUUAGUGGGAAAGAAAAGUUCAUGGCUAAUAUCCAUGAGUGCUGACGUUACCCACAGAAAAAGCACUGGCUAACUCUGUGCCAGCCGCCGCCGUAA